UCCCUGGAGGACUAGAGGUUAGGUCUCUGCACUCUCACAGCUGUGGCCUGGGUUCGAUUCCCAGCCAGGGAA